rnacentral:tRNA from 1 species
GGAGAGGUCGCAUAGCGGACUAGUGCGGCAGUCUUGAAAACUGCUGUAGGUGAAAGCCUACCGUGGGUUCGAAUCCCACCCUCUCCG